UGAAGACAAACUACUGCGAAAGCAUUUGCCAAGAAUGUUUUCAUUAAUCAAGAACGAAAGUUAGAGGUUCGAAGGCGAUUAGAUACCGCCCUAGUUCUAACCAUAAACGAUGCCAGCUAGCGAUCUGCGGACGUUUUUUUUGUAGACUCCGCAGGAAGCUUCCGGGAAACCAAAGCAUUUGGGUUCCAGGGGAAGUAUGGUUGCAAAGCUGAAACUUAAAGGAAUUGACGGAAGGGCACCACCAGGAGUGGAGCCUGUGGCUUAAUUUGACUCAACACGGGAAAUCUCACCAGGCCCGGACACUGGAAGGAUUGACAGAUUGAUAGCUCUUUCUUGAUUCGGUGGGUGGUGGUGCAUGGCCGUUCUUAGUUGGUGGAGUGAUUUGUCUGGUUAAU
rnacentral:rRNA from 1 species